ACCUCAGAGAGGGAGGAUGUAAGGAGGCCACCUCGGCACGUUGGGCAGAGGCAAUGUCUGUGCUGGAACAUUCACGGCCUGCUCCGGAGGCUCUAGGGGAGGGUCCUUCCUGCCUCUCCCAGCUCCUGGGGGCUCCAGGCGUCCCUGGGCUUGUGGCCGCAUCACUCCAGUCUCUGCCUCUGUCUCCACGUGGCCUUCUCCUGUGUGUCUGUGUCUCCUCUUCUGUCUCUUAGGAGGACACCUGCAUUGCAUUUAGAGCUCACCCAAUCCAGGACGAUCUCAUCUCAACAUCCUCAAUUUGAUCACA
rnacentral:lncRNA from 1 species